UACGGGGGGAGCAAGCGUUGUUCGGAUUUACUGGGCGUAAAGGGCGCGUAGGCGGCCACCGCAAGUCGACUGUGAAAUCUCCGGGCUUAACCCGGAAAGGUCAGCCGAUACUGCAGGGCUAGAGUGCAGAAGGGGCAACUGGAAUUCUCGGUGUAGCGGUGAAAUGCGUAGAUAUCGAGAGGAACACCUGCGGCGAAGGCGGGUUGCUGGGCUGACACUGACGCUGAAGCGCGAAAGCUAGGGGAGCGAACGGG
rnacentral:rRNA from 1 species